rnacentral:rRNA from 1 species
UACAGAGGUCCCAAGCGUUGUUCGGAAUUAUUGGGCGUAAAGGGUGCGCAGAUGGUCUGACAAGUUAGCGGUGGUAAAUCGAGGCUCAACCUCGUGGAAACUGAUAAUACUGUCUGACUCGAGUACAGGAGAGGUUAACAGAACUCCAUGUGGAGCGGUAAAAUGCAUAGAUAUAUGGAAGAAUACCAAUAACGGCGAAGGCAGUUAACUAUUCUGUUACUGACAUUGAGGCACGAAAGCGUGGGGAGCAAAACGG